GUGCUCACUUCGGCAGCACAGAUACUAGAAUUGGACCGAUACAGAGAUUAGCGUGGCCCCUGUGCAAGGAUGGCACACAACUUCGUGAAGCGUUCUAUAUUUUU